CAGCCACAUCACAUUGAAACACUAGUUCCUGUACAAUCACUAAAGUUAAACCACAUCGACCCUGGUCAGUACCUAGAUGGGUGACCAUUUGGGAAUACCAGGUGCUGUAAG